rnacentral:lncRNA from 1 species
AAUGUCACCAUUUCUCCACCACCCAUCCCACUUGCCAUCAAUUUUCUCAAAUGGGUUCCUCAAAUUCUCCCCAAAUUCAAAUGGGUUCUUCUUAAUAUCCUUAAUCAUGCAGUCCUUUUACUAGCUUAUGUUUUACUACAAUUUAUUUGCUUGUGGAAAGAAGAUAAAAAGAAUGGCAGUUAAAGUAAAAAUCGGUUCUUCAUUUUCCUGUAUUUCCACCACUCUUUGUUCACCUUUUCAAAGUAAAGUGGCUCCAAAGGUAUGUUUACGUUUUUCUCCACUUUACAAAUUUCAGUUCUGUGAGCUUUAUUGGAAAGAAUUGUUAUUAUUUGUUUUCUAAAUAAUUGAGAUUUU